AGAGUUUGAUUCUGGCUCAGAACGAACGCUGGCGGCGUGGAUAAGACAUGCAAGUCGAACGGGAGAAUUGCUAGCUUGCUAAUAAUUCUCUAGUGGCGCACGGGUGAGUAACACGUGAGUAACCUGCCCCCAAGAGUGGGAUAGCCCCGGGAAACUGGGAUUAAUACCGCAUAAAAUCGCAAGAUUAAAGCAGCAAUGCGCUUGGGGAUGGGCUCGCGUCCUAUUAGUUAGUUGGUGAGGUAACGGCUCACCAAGGCGAUGACGGGUAGCCGGUCUGAGAGGAUGUCCGGCCACACUGGAACUGAGACACGGUCCAGACACCUACGGGUGGCAGCAGUCGAGAAUCAUUCACAAUGGGGGAAACCCUGAUGGUGCGACGCCGCGUGGGGGAAUGAAGGUCUUCGGAUUGUAAACCCCUGUCAUGUGGGAGCAAAUUAAAAAGAUAGUACCACAAGAGGAAGAGACGGCUAACUCUGUGCCAGCAGCCGCGGUAAUACAGAGGUCUCAAGCGUUGUUCGGAAUCACUGGGCGUAAAGCGUGCGUAGGCGGUUUCGUAAGUCGUGUGUGAAAGGCGGGGGCUCAACCCCCGGACUGCACAUGAUACUGCGAGACUAGAGUAAUGGAGGGGGAACCGGAAUUCUCGGUGUAGCAGUGAAAUGCGUAGAUAUCGAGAGGAACACUCGUGGCGAAGGCGGGUUCCUGGACAUUAACUGACGCUGAGGCACGAAGGCCAGGGGAGCGAAAGGGAUUAGAUACCCCUGUAGUCCUGGCAGUAAACGGUGCACGCUUGGUGUGCGGGGAAUCGACCCCCUGCGUGCCGGAGCUAACGCGUUAAGCGUGCCGCCUGGGGAGUACGGUCGCAAGAUUAAAACUCAAAGAAAUUGACGGGGACCCGCACAAGCGGUGGAGUAUGUGGCUUAAUUCGAUGCAACGCGAAGAACCUUACCUGGGCUUGACA
rnacentral:rRNA from 1 species